rnacentral:rRNA from 1 species
UUGAACGCUGGCGGCAUGCUUUACACAUGCCAGUCGAGCGGCAGCGCGGGGGCAACCCUGGCGGCGAGCGGCGAACGGGUGAGUAAUGCAUCGGAACGUAUCCUCGAGUGGGGGAUAACCCAGCGAAAGUUGGGCUAAUACCGCAUGAGCUCUGAGGAGGAAAGCGGGGGACCUGCGAGGGCCUCGCGCUGGAGGAGCGGCCGAUGUCCGAUUAGCUAGUUGGUGGGGUAAAGGCUUACCAAGGCGACGAUCGGUAGCUGGUCUGAGAGGAUGAUCAGCCACACUGGGACUGAGACACGGCCCAGAUUCCUACGGGAGGCAGCAGUGGGGAAUGUUGGACAAUGGGGGCAACCCUGAUCCAGCCAUGCCGCGUGAGUGAAGAAGGCCUUCGGGUUGUAAAGCUCUUUCGGACGGAACGAAAUGGGCGGGACUAAUACUCCUGUCUGAUGACGGUACCGGAAGAAGAAGCACCGGCUAACUACGUG